rnacentral:rRNA from 1 species
GAUGAACGCUGGCGGCGUGCCUAAUACAUGCCAGUCGAGCGAACGGACGAGAAGCUUGCUUCUCUGAUGUUAGCGGCGGACGGGUGAGUAACACGUGGAUAACCUACCUAUAAGACUGGGAUAACUUCGGGAAACCGUAGCUAAUACCGGAUAAUAUUUUGAACCGCAUGGUUCAAAAGUGAAAGACGGUCUUGCUGUCACUUAUAGAUGGAUCCGCGCUGCAUUAGCUAGUUGGUAAGGUAACGGCUUACCAAGGCAACGAUGCAUAGCCGACCUGAGAGGGGGAUCGGCCACACUGGAAGUGGGACGCGGUCCAGACUCCUACGGGAGGCAGCAGUAGGGAAUCUGACGCAAUGGGCGAAAGCCUGACGGAGCAACGCCGCGUGAGUGAUGAAGGUCUUCGGAUCGUAAAACUCUGUUAUUAGGGAAGAACAGAUGUGUAAGUAACUGUGCACAUCUUGACGGUACCUAAUCAGAAAGCCACGGCUAACUACGUG